UACGAAGGGUGUAAACGUUGCCCGGAUUUAUUGGGCGUAAAGUGUUUCGUAGGCGUCCCGUCGCAUCUUGUUUCAAAGCUUCUGGCUUAACCAGAAAGAGGGACAAGAGAUGGACGGGAUUGAAGAUUGUAGGGGUCACUGGAACUGUCGGUGUAGGGGUGAAAUCCGUUGAUAUCGACAGGAACUCCAAAGGCGAAGGCGGGUGACUAGGCAAAUCUUGACGCUGAUGAACGAAAGCUAGGGGAGCGAAACGG
rnacentral:misc_RNA from 1 species